GACGAACGCUGGCGGCGUGCCUAAUACAUGCAAGUAGAACGCACAGGAUGCACCGUAGUUUACUACACCGUAUUCUGUGAGUUGCGAACGGGUGAGUAACGCGUAGGUAACCUGCCUGGUAGCGGGGGAUAACUAUUGGAAACGAUAGCUAAUACCGCAUAAGAACAUUUACUGCAUGGUAGAUGUUUAAAAGGUGCAAAUGCAUCACUACCAGAUGGACCUGCGUUGUAUUAGCUAGUAGGUAAGGUAACGGCUCACCUAGGCGACGAUACAUAGCCGACCUGAGGGGGUGAUCGGCCACACUGGGACUGAGACACGGCCCAGACUCCUACGGGAGGCAGCAGUAGGGAAUCUUCGGCAA
rnacentral:rRNA from 1 species